rnacentral:lncRNA from 1 species
GCCUUUUUCUUUGGAAGUGAAUUUGUAUUUUUCUAGCUUAAGUUUAUUGAAACUGAGCUCUUUGCAUGUCAUUUCAUGUUUUUCUCUUGACAUGAAGUCUUAUCUACCCUGAUAAACAUGUCUUUUGAAAGAUAUACUACAAGGAACAAAAUGCUAUUUGUAAAUUCUGCUCUUAUCAAGGUGAAGAUCAAUUUUUACAAAUUAACUGUUUGGCUUAUAAAAGGAAAAAAUAGGAGCCAGGGUGACUCAUGCCUAUAAUCCCAGAGAAUUGGGAGACUGAAAAAAAAAAAAAAAGGACUGCAAGUCUAAGCCAAUCUCAACAAUUUAGAGAGUCCUUAAGCAACUUAGCAAGACCCUGUCUCAAAAUAAAAAACUGGCUGGGAAUGUGACUCAGUUGUUAAGUGCCCUUGGGUUCAAUUCCCAGUACCGAAAAAAAAGAACUUAAUGUAUAGAAUACAUUGAGAAGUUUUACUGAAUAUUUACCUGUAUUUCCUUAUUAAGUUGGCACAGUUAAAAAAGAAAAUCCAUUUCUUUUUCUAUUAUCAUCUUUGUGUUUCCUAUUACAGCACUGUGUUGGGCAUAUAGAAGGAUUUUAUUGAAAUUUUGAUGUAGAAAUAAACUUUAUUCUACUUAAAAGCUUUUAAAAACAACUAAUUAUGCAC